AUGGCGUGGAUCUGGGUGGUCGCGGUGGCCGGAGCCAUCCUCCUUCUGUGGGCGGUCUCCCUCGGCCGGAUACUCUCCUCCCCGGCGCCCUACUGCCUCCCUCCGAGCCCUCGCUUCCUGCUCCCUCUCCACGGCGACAGGAGGUGCCGGAACGUGCUCCUGGUGCUCGCCCACCCCGACGACGAGUCCAUGUUUUUUACUCCAACGAUUCUUUUCCUCGAAUCAAAAGGUCACAAGGUUCAUGUUUUGUGCAUGUCUCUUGGUAACGCUGAUGGUUUUGGAGAUACUCGUAAAGAAGAAUUGUACAAUGCAUGCGCUACUCUGAAGAUUCCAGCUGAGCAAGUUGCAGUCUUGGACCAUCAACAGUUGCAGGAUGGGUUUCAUGAGGAAUGGGAUCAUGGACUACUAGCAGAACUUACCAUGGAGCAGAUCCAACUGUGGGAUAUCGACACAAUUGUGACCUUUGAUUCCUAUGGAGUAUCAGGUCAUCCGAAUCAUCGUGAUGUUCAUCAUGGCAUAUGCAAGCUUCUUCAUGAGAAUCAGCAAGAAAAUAUUGAAGCGUGGGAACUUGUAAGCCUGAACAUGUUUCGGAAAUACAGUGGUGCAGUUGAAAUUUGGUUAUCUCCGUUGAUCUCCUCAAGUUCAAAGCAACUGAUAUGUUGUCUAGUUAACUGUAACCCUUCCAGAACCUUUAAGGCAAUGGCUGCACACAGAAGCCAGUGGGUUUGGUAA
rnacentral:rRNA from 1 species